AUUUGAUGAUGAAGACACUAAUGAAGUAAAUCCCGAAACCUUUCCCAAGUCUCAUGGAAGUGGUCACUAUCAAUUUGAGAGAAAUUGUUGAUGGCAUGUCUUAUCU